rnacentral:rRNA from 1 species
UAAUACAGAGGGUGCAAGCGUUAAUCGGAAUUACUGGGCGUAAAGGGCGCGUAGGUGGUUUAUUAAGUCAGAUGUGAAAUACCUGGGCUUAACCUAGGAAUUGCAUUUGAUACUAAUUGGCUAGAGUAUGGGAGAGGGAAGUGGAAUUUCCGGUGUAGCGGUGAAAUGCGUAGAUAUCGGAAGGAACACCAGUGGCGAAGGCGACUUCCUGGCCCAUUACUGACACUGAGGCGCGAAAGCGUGGGGAGCGAACAGGAUUAGAUACCCUGGUAGUCCACGCCGUAAACGAUGAGAACUAGAUGUUAGGGGGCUUAGACUCUUUAGUAUCGUAGCAAACGCGUUAAGUUCUCCGCCUGGGGAGUACGGCCGCAAGGUUA